rnacentral:rRNA from 1 species
UGGGUAACCUGCCUCAAAGAGGGGAAUAGCCUCCCGAAAGGGAGAUUAAUACCGCAUAAUAUGUUUAAGUCGCAUGACUUUAACAUCAAAGGAUUUUCUUUUAAGAAAUUCCACUUUGAGAUGGACCCGCGGUGCAUUAGCUAGUUGGUGAGGUAACGGCUCACCAAGGCAACGAUGCGUAGCCGACCUGAGAGGGUGAUCGGCCACAUUGGAACUGAGACACAGUCCAGACCUCUACGGGAGG